AUGCCCAACCUCGUCUUCCUCCAGCUCUACAACAACAGCCUCGUGGGUGGCAUCCCGCCGCAGCUCUGCAGGCUCCCCCUCGUCCGAUUACUAGAUAUCUCCAAGAACCAGCUCGCCGGAGAGCUUCCGAGCUGCUUGUGCGACUUCCGGUCUCUUCAAUACAUGGACUUGUCGAACAACCAGUUCUCUGGGAAGCUUCCGGACUGCUGGUGGAACCUGCAGGAUCUGCAGUUCAUGGAUCUAUCCAAUAACUCCUUCUCAGGUAAAAUCCCCAUGGCUGUGCCAAGCCAAACCUGCUCUCUUAGGUGGCUUUACCUUGCCAGAAAUAGCUUCAUCGGUGCCUUCCCGCCGGUCCUAAGGAGCUGCAAUUCGCUGGAGACAGUGGACAUAGGAAACAAUGGGUUUUUUGGGGUUAUCCCUCCAUGGAUUGGGAGUCGGUUUCCAUUGUUGAAAAUCCUUAGCCUCAGAUCAAACAACUUCACCGGAGAAAUUCCUCCACGGUUAUCGCGCCAUUUGGGACUUCAGUUGCUUGACAUGGCAAGCAAUAGCUUGACCGGCUCAAUUCCGGCAUCCUUCGGCAGCUUCACCUCCAUGAAGUAUCCAAAAAAUCUUUCGGCUACUGCAUCGCUCUACUGGUCAAAAUACGAUGAUAAAAUCAACAUAAUCUGGAAGGGCCAGGAGCAGAUUUUCCAAAGUGCAACCCAAUCAUUAGCCGGUAUUGAUCUGUCGGCUAAUUUGUUGUCUCGAUGCAUCCCUAAAGAGCUAACCAACCUUAUGGGCAUCCAGUUCUUGAACCUGUCAAGAAACCAUCUGUCAUGCGGUAUUCCUAAAGACAUCGGUAGUUUGACUUAUCUCGAGUCCCUUGAUCUGUCUUCUAAUGAACUAUUAGGAGGGAUUCCUCCGAGCAUGUCGAACUUAUCUUGGCUGAACACGUUCAAUGUCUCGAACAAUCUUUUGUCAGGCAAGAUACCCGCUGGGAGUCAGAUGCAGACCCUGACUGACCCAUCGAUUUAUUCCAAUAAUUCUGGGUUGUGCGGAUUUCCUCUCGAGACUCCAUGUGCAAAUACUUUCCUUACACAGAAUGAGAGAAAUGGUGGAAAUGAGGAUCAGUGGUUGUACUACUCGGUGAUUGCAGGGAUUGUGUUUGGUUUCUGGUUAUGGUUUGGGAUGCUCUUUAUAGUUAAAACUUGGAGAUGUGCUUUUCUCUUAUUUGUCGACGGCAUGCAAUGUAAGGUUAUGAAGAAGGCAUGA
rnacentral:rRNA from 1 species